CCUGUUAGAAACAGCUGUCCACUGUUAACAGAGCCAGCCAGCAAGCAGGAGAAUUCCACCUCGGGGAAGCUGCGUUUAAAGAUAAAUAUUUUCCCCCUAUCUGGUAGAUUGCUUGGGUUGAAGGCGUUUUCUAGGGAUCACAGGGGCAUGAUAAUCGGUGUUGAUAAUGGGUGCGCAAACAGUACUUUCUCUAAAGGCCAAACAAACAAGACAAAGGGGACGUUAGGAGGAGUCCCCCCCAAAACAGGAUUUUCUGAAAACCUGACGGGGUGGAACAGCUCUCGGAUGUGGGAAGAACACCAAAACUCAGCUCGGCCAGACAAGCAAGCUGAAAUGUCCAGGUGUAUGGCUUGUAUGCGUGUCUUUGCCACUGUGUGCCUGGUGCCGGAGAAGGACGAAAGAGGAAGCCAUGGGAUCCUGUAGGCUUGAAAUCAGUCCGGCCUGGAACUCACAGAGGUUGGUUUUCCUCUGGCUUCUUCUGGCUUCUAAGCAUCAAGACUCAGGCGUGCACCAUCUUAUCCAGCUUCAACUGGCUUUUCACUGUUCCAACUUAGGGUGCCAGGUUUCCAUAAGCACUUUUACCCACUGAGCCAAUUCCCUGACCUCUUUUUUAAAAAUCAAAAACAGU
rnacentral:lncRNA from 1 species